CCAGCCCUAAAACAGAGCCAUCAAGGCUAGUAACUGGGAAAAGGCAAGCUCUUGGAAACCAGGCUGAUGAGUGUAGAAGGCAAGACGACCUAGGGAGUAAGGGGUUAAAGAAGAAGAGGAAGUGAUGGCUGUGAGCUCUGCUGAGAAGGAAGAGAAAGGAAAAGAGCAACAUGAAGAUAGCAGCUACCACUUACUGGACUCGCUGUGCCAGGCGCUGGUCCAAGGGCCAGCUUCUAGCUGCGAUCUUGCUUCAGCCUCUCCACACUCUGGUUAGGGUCAUGCAUCUGAUCAGUAGCAGACCUGAGAUUUAAACCCAACUCUUAUGAGACCUGGGAGUACACCCCUGUGAUACAAGGUCUCACUAUAGUCCAAGAUGGCCUGGAAUUCCUGAUCCUCUUGCUUCAGACUCCUAAGUACCAUCACGAUCAGCUAAUCUACUUUAAUCAAACCAACUUUCAAAAGAAUUUCAGAAGCAAAUGGCUCAAACAUGAAAGUAGGGAGUAAAUACUGCUCUCUGUUUCCCUCUAACCCCAAGAUCUCACUGUGUAGUCAGGCUAGCUUCUAACUCAUGGCACUACUCCUGCCUCAGCCUUUAGACUGUUGGGAUUACAGAUGUGAGUCUCCACACUCAGCGCAUUUGUUUUGUCUAGUCCAUGUUAUUAAGCAUCUCUCCAGAUGCCUCUUUAACAAUAUGAACGUUCAGCUGUGCAUCUAAUACUCCGUAGAGGUGUCUGUAUGAAGAAGGCCUCCUGGGAUUAGAGAAAAGAAUGCUUGGGAAAUGAAGGCAUCACUUUCCAUGUCCUACAGAUACCUGUGAAAGACAAUUAUCUCUUCCCUAUUGGUCAGGGGAGAAAACCAAGGCCCUCAAAGGUUAAAUCAUUUCCCAAAAGUUAUUUAACAGACAGGAAGUGCUUGAGCCAGG
rnacentral:lncRNA from 1 species